rnacentral:rRNA from 1 species
AGAGUUCGAUCCUGGCUCAGGAUUAACGCUGGCGGCGUGCCUAAUACAUGCAAGUCGAGCGAGGAAAGUAGCAAUACUUUUCGAGCGGCGAACGGGUGAGUAACACGUUGGGAAUCUACCCCUGAGACCGGAAUACCUGGAAGAAAUUUCAGCUAAUGCCGGAUACGUGGUCAACACAGAAGUGAUGAUCAUAAAAGGCGGCCUUAAAGCCGCGCUGAGGGAUGAACCUGCGGCGCAUUAGCUAGUUGGUGAGAUAAAAGCCCACCAAGGCGAGGAUGCGUAGCCGACCUGAGAGGGUGAACGGCCACACUGGAACUGAGACACGGUCCAGACUCCUACGGGAGGCAGCAGUAGGGAGUAUUCGGCAAUGGGGGAAACCCUGACCGAGCAACGCCGCGUGAAUGAUGAAGGUCUUCGGAUUGUAAAAUUCUGUGGUAAGAGAAGAAAGAUAUAAAGAGGAAAUGCUUUGUAUUUGACGGUAUCUUGCUAGAAAGCCACGGCUAACUACGUGCCAGCAGCCGCGGUAAUACGUAGGUGGCAAGCGUUAUCCGGAAUUACUGGGCGUAAAGAGUGAGCAGGCGGUUAGAUAAGUCUAUGGUUAAAUGCAACAGCUCAACUGUUGUUCGCUAUAGAAACUAUUUAACUAGAGUGCGGGAGAGGUAAGUGGAACUCCAUAUGUAGCGGUGGAAUGCUUAGAUAUAUGGAAGAACACCAGAGGCGAAGGCGGCUUACCAGUCCGUAACUGACGCUCAGUCACGAAAGCGUGGGGAGCAAAUAGGAUUAGAUAUCCUAGUAGUCCACGCCGUAAACGAUGAGAACCUGAUGCAGGAGAUAUUCUGUGUCGAAGCUAACGCGUUAAGUUCUCCGCCUGGGUACUACGUUCGCAAGAAUAAAACUUAAAGGAAUUGACGGGCGCCCGCACAAGCAGUGGAGCAUGGGGUUUAAUUCGUCGAUACACGAAAAACCUUACCAGGGCUUGACAUCCCGCUAAAAGCCUUAGAAAUAAGGAAAUAGUUAUAGCGGUGACAGGUGGUGCAUGGUUGUCGUCAGCUCGUGCCGUGAGGUGUUAGGUUAAGUCCUCAAACGAGCGCAACCCUUGUCUUUAGU